AUAAGAGUGACUAGAAAGCUUCUCAGCAGAAAAGGUCCUGGGAGUGCUGAUCAACAGUGGCUGGACAUGAACAAGAUGUGCCCAGUUGGCCAAAAAGGUCAGUGACAUCUUUGCCUGUGUCAGCACUGUUGUGGCCAGCAGGACCAAGAUUGUGCCCCUGUACUCAGCAAUGAUGAGGCCUCACCUCAAAAACUGUGCUUAGUUUUGGGCCACUCGUGACAAGAAAAACAUUGAGAUGCUGGAUAUAGUCCAGAGAAGGGCAACAGAGAAAUAAUGUCAAGAUGAAGAGGAACAUGGAGAAAAAUAAAUUAGAGAAGCCAGAGAUGAAAUCAUCUGCUCCCUACAGGCUUUUUCUGAAGAGAGUGAAGUCAGAAAAGGAGAAACUGAAGGAGAAUUUUGCUAGUAAGCUCCAAUUGCCGGAAAAAUUUUCAGUGACCUUGUAGGCCCAAAUGUCAUUUA